CCAGCAGCCGCGGUAAUUCCAGCUCCAAGAGCGUAUAUUAAAGUUGUUGCAGUUAAAAAGCUCGUAGUUGGAUUUCUGGUAGAAUGCGCCUGGCCCGCUGCCGUUAGGUACGUGAGUGCCGGUGCGCGUUUACCAUCCUUCCAGAGAACACGUCUGCCAUUCACUUGGAUUGGAUGUUGAUUUCUGGAUCUUUUACUUUGAAAAAAUUAGAGUGUUUAAAGCAGGCCUUUGCUGUGAAUACAUUAGCAUGGAAUAAUAAUCUAGGACUUCGGUUCUAUUUUGUUGGUUUCUAGUACUGAAGUAAUGAUUGAUAGGGAUAGUUGGGGGUGCUAGUAUUGGCCGGC
rnacentral:rRNA from 1 species